AGUUUAAUGGCUGAGAAUAAGCAUUAGAUUGUAAAUCUAAAUACGAGAAAUUUUCUCUUAAACUA
rnacentral:tRNA from 1 species